rnacentral:rRNA from 1 species
UAACCCGGGGAGGUCGUUCAAUACUGCGGGACUUGAGGGCAGCCAGAGGGAGGCGGAAUUCCCGGUGUANCGGUGAAAUGCGUAGAUAUCGGGAGGAACACCAGUGGCGAAGGCGGCCUCCUGGGCUGUUUCUGACGCUGAAGUCUUUAUGUNAGGNGUUCUGUAUCGGGAUUAGAAACCCCGGUAGUCCUAGCCGUAAACGAUGGAUGCUGGGUGUGGGGGGUAUAGAUCCCCUCCUUGCUGAAUCUUACGCGUUAAGCAUCCCGCCUGGGGAUUACGGCCGCAAGGCUUAAACUCAAACGAAUUGACGGGGGCCCGCACAAGCAGCGGAGCGUGUGGUUUAAUUCGAUGCUACACGAAGAACCUUACCUGGGCUUGACAUGUAGGUAGUAGUGAAGCGAAAGCGGAACGACCCUUCGGGGAGCCUACACAGGUGCUGCAUGGCUGUCGUCAGUUCGUGCCGUGAGGUGUCGGGUUAAGUCCCGUAACGAACGCAACCCUUGCCCUUAGUUACAUGUGUCUAAGNGUGACUGCCCGGGACAACUGGGAGGAAGGUGGGGAUGACGUCAAGUCAGCAUGGCCUUUAUGUCCAGGGCUACACACACGCUACAAUGGCCGGUACAAUGGGUCGCCAAGCCGUGAGGCGGAGCCAAUCCCCCAAAGCCGGUCUAAGUUCGGAUUGUGGGCUGCAACUCGCCCAUAUGAAGCUGGAGUUGCUAGUAACCGCGCGUCAGCAAUAGUGCGGUGAUACGUUCCCGGGCAUUGUACACACCGCCCGUCACGUCAUGGAAGCUGGCAACACCUGAAGCCAGUGAUAAACCCGCAAGGGGGGCAGCUGUC